GCUAUCAUACCAGCACUAAUGCACCGGAUCCCAUCAGAAAUCCGCAAUUAAGCGUGCUUGGGCGAGAGUAGUACUAGGAUGGGUGACCUCCUGGGAAGUCCUCGUGUUGCACCCC
rnacentral:rRNA from 1 species